rnacentral:rRNA from 1 species
ACGGGUGAGUAAUGUCUGGGGAUCUGCCCGAUAGAGGGGGAUAACCACUGGAAACGGUGGCUAAUACCGCAUAACGUCGCAAGACCAAAGAGGGGGACCUUCGGGCCUCUCACUAUCGGAUGAACCCAGAUGGGAUUAGCUAGUAGGCGGGGUAACGGCCCACCUAGGCGACGAUCCCUAGCUGGUCUGAGAGGAUGACCAGCCACACUGGAACUGAGACACGGUCCAGACUCCUACGGGAGGCAGCAGUGGGGAAUAUUGCACAAUGGGCGCAAGCCUGAUGCAGCCAUGCCGCGUGUAUGAAGAAGGCCUUCGGGUUGUAAAGUACUUUCAGCGGGGAGGAAGGCGAUAAGGUUAAUAACCUUGUCGAUUGACGUUACCCGCAGAAGAAGCACCGGCUAACUCCGUGCCAGCAGCCGCGGCAAUACGGAGGGUGCAAGCGUUAAUCGGAAUUACUGGGCGUAAAGCGCACGCAGGCGGUCUGUUAAGUCAGAUGUGAAAUCCCCGGGCUUAACCUGGGAACUGCAUUUGAAACUGGCAGGCUUGAGUCUCGUAGAGGGGGGUAGAAUUCCAGGUGU